UUAGAGUUUGAUCCUGGCUCAGAUUGAACGCUGGCGGCAGGCCUAACACAUGCAAGUCGAGCGGUAGAGAGAAGCUUGCUUCUCUUGAGAGCGGCGGACGGGUGAGUAAUGCCUAGGAAUCUGCCUGGUAGUGGGGGAUAACGUUCGGAAACGAACGCUAAUACCGCAUACGUCCUACGGGAGAAAGCAGGGGACCUUCGGGCCUUGCGCUAUCAGAUGAGCCUAGGUCGGAUUAGCUAGUUGGUGAGGUAAUGGCUCACCAAGGCGACGAUCCGUAACUGGUCUGAGAGGAUGAUCAGUCACACUGGAACUGAGACACGGUCCAGACUCCUACGGGAGGCAGCAGUAGGGAAUAUUGGACAAUGGGCGAAAGCCUGAUCCAGCCAUGCCGCGUGAGUGACGAAGGCCUUCGGGUUGUAAAGCUCUUUUGGCGGGGACGAUAAUGACGGUACCCGCAG
rnacentral:rRNA from 1 species